rnacentral:rRNA from 1 species
ACUCCUACGGGAGGCAGCAGUGGGAAUAUUGGACAAUGGGGGAAACCCUGAUCCAGCCAUGCCGCGUGUGUGAAGAAGGCCUUCGGGUUGUAAAGCACUUUCAGUGGGGAGGAAAGGUUGAUGGUUAAUACCUAUCAGCUGUGACGUUACCCACAGAAGAAGCACCGGCUAACUCCGUGCCAGCAGCCGCGGUAAUACGUAGGGUGCAAGCGUUGUCCGGAAUUAUUGGGCGUAAAGAGCUCGUAGGCGGUUUGUCGCGUCUGCUGUGAAAUCCCGAGGCUCAACCUCGGGCUUGCAGUGGGUACGGGCAGACUAGAGUGCGGUAGGGGAGAUUGGAAUUCCUGGUGUAGCGGUGGAAUGCGCAGAUAUCAGGAGGAACACCGAUGGCGAAGGCAGAUCUCUGGGCCGUAACUGACGCUGAGGAGCGAAAGCGUGGGGAGCGAACAGGAUUAGAUACCCUGUAGGCUCUG